UUUUAUGAUUGAUUCCAUUGUCAGUGUCA
rnacentral:piRNA from 1 species